rnacentral:rRNA from 1 species
AACGCUAGCUACAGGCUUAACACAUGCAAGUCGAGGGGCAGCAUAAAAGUAGCAAUACUUUGGUGGCGACCGGCGCACGGGUGAGUAACGCGUAUGCAACCUACCUAUCAGAGGGGAAUAACCCGGCGAAAGUCGGACUAAUACCGCAUAAAACAGGGGCACCGCAUGGUGAUAUUUGUUAAAGAAAUUCGCUGAUAGAUGGGCAUGCGUUCCAUUAGGUAGUUGGUGAGGUAACGGCUCACCAAGCCGACGAUGGAUAGGGGAACUGAGAGGUUGGUCCCCCACACUGGUACUGAGACACGGACCAGACUCCUACGGGAGGCAGCAGUGAGGAAUAUUGGUCAAUGGGCGGGAGCCUGAACCAGCCAAGUCGCGUGAAGGAAGAAGGAUCUAUGGUUCGUAAACUUCUUUUGCAGGGGAAUAAAGUGCAGGACGUGUCCUGUUUUGUAUGUACCCUGAGAAUAAGGAUCGGCUAACUCCGUGCCAGCAGCCGCGGUAAUACGGAGGAUCCGAGCGUUAUCCGGAUUUAUUGGGUUUAAAGGGUGCGUAGGUGGUUUGAUAAGUCAGCGGUGAAAGUUUGCAGCUUAACUGUAAAAAUGCCGUUGAAACUGUCGGACUUGAGUGUAAAUGAGGUAGGCGGAAUGCGUGGUGUAGCGGUGAAAUGCAUAGAUAUCACGAAGAACUCCGAU